rnacentral:rRNA from 1 species
GAUCAUGGCUCAGGAUGAACGCUGGCGGCGUGCUUAACACAUGCAAGUCGAACGAAGCCAAAAGGAAGCUUGCUUCUUGAAGCUUAGUGGCGGACGGGUGAGUAACGCGUGAGUAACCCUGCCCUUCAGUGGGGAAUAACACAGAGAAAUCUGUGCUAAUACCGCAUAACGUCUUCUUGCCGCAUGACAGGAAGACCAAAGGAUUUAUUCGCUGAAGGAUGGACUCGCGUCCGAUUAGCUAGUUGGUGAGGUAACGGCCCACCAAGGCGACGAUCGGUAGCCGAACUGAGAGGUUGAUCGGCCACAUUGGGACUGAGACACGGCCCAGACUCCUACGGGAGGCAGCAGUGGGGAAUAUUGGGCAAUGGGCGAAAAAGCCUGACCCAGCAACGCCGCGUGAAGGAAGACGGUCUUCGGAUUGUAAACUUCUUUGAUUGGGGAAGAAACAAAUGACCUACCCAAAGAACAAGUCACGGCUAACUACGUGCCAGCCGCGGC